ACAGUGGACGCGAGCAUCUGUGGCCAAGUUUUUAAGGGCGCACGGUGGAUGCCUUGG
rnacentral:rRNA from 1 species